UUUGCAAAUCAAUAAGCGGAGGAAAGAAACAACCUGCCUUAGUAACGGCGAGUGAAGCGGCAAAAGCUCAAAUUUGAAAUCUGGUACCUUCGGUGCCCGAGUUGUAAUUUGGAGAGGGCAACUUUGGGGCCGUUCCUUGUCUAUGUUCCUUGGAACAGGACGUCAUAGAGGGUGAGAAUCCCGUGUGGCGAGGAGUGCGGUUCUUUGUAAAGUGCCUUCGAAGAGUCGAGUUGUUUGGGAAUGCAGCUCUAAGUGGGUGGUAAAUUCCAUCUAAAGCUAAAUAUUGGCGAGAGACCGAUAGCGAACAAGUACAGUGAUGGAAAGAUGAAAAGAACUUUGAAAAGAGAGUGAAAAAGUACGUGAAAUUGUUGAAAGGGAAGGGCAUUUGAUCAGACAUGGUGUUUUGUGCCCUCUGCUCCUUGUGGGUAGGGGAAUCUCGCAUUUCACUGGGCCAGCAUCAGUUUUGGUGGCAGGAUAAAUCCAUAGGAAUGUAGCUUGCCUCGGUAAGUAUUAUAGCCUGUGGGAAUACUGCCAGCUGGGACUGAGGACUGCGACGUAAGUCAAGGAUGCUGGCAUAAUGGUUAUAUGCCGCCCGUCUUGAAACACGGACCCA
rnacentral:rRNA from 1 species